ACGCCGUCGCCGACGCCCUUUCGCCUCCCUCUCGCGACCUCUGCUCCGCUCUCUCCCUCUUUCCUCUGCGGAGCGCCCUUGCUGGCUAACCCCGACGCCGACGAACCCUGAUCGCGUUUUGGCCUCCCUCUCCGCGAACGAAGGUCGCUCUCUCUCUUUCCUCCGCGAAUCGCCCCCUGCUCCUGAACGCGGACGCCGUCGCCUCCCGAAGUCGCCUUCCCAAGCCCCACCGUAGGCACCCCAUUGGCGACUCCCGUACGUCCGGAGUUCGUCGAAGAAGAAAAGGACCAGGAUAUAUGUUAUGAUGAUGAAGAAGAUAGUGCUGGAAGGGAUGAAACAAUCAUGAGUGAUGUUGACUCUUUGCAGAAGACCUGCAGAAGUGCUAUUUCGCCUAUUUGAGAAGUACAUGGCCUCUGAUUGAGUUGAAAAAAAUAUACAUACUCUGAUCAUUUUCUAAAUGGUCCAAAGUACAAUGGGCGUUUUGAAAUUUCACUUUCUUAGCGAUGCCUGCGUUACAUGACAUGACUGCCAACCCCGAUGGGAAUAAAACCUUACUCCUAGUUUUGUUGAUUUUCCGCUUGAUAUUAGCAGACUUUAAUGAGACCUGUUAUUGUUGAAUGAUUGAUUGAA